UACGGAGGAUGCGAGCGUUAUCCGGAUUUAUUGGGUUUAAAGGGUGCGUAGGCGGGAUGCCAAGUCAGCGGUAAAAAUGCGGUGCUCAACGCCGUCGAGCCGUUGAAACUGGCGUUCUUGAGUGGGCGAGAAGUAUGCGGAAUGCGUGGUGUAGCGGUGAAAUGCAUAGAUAUCACGCAGAACUCCGAUUGCGAAGGCAGCAUACCGGCGCCCUACUGACGCUGAGGCACGAAAGCGUGGGUAUCGAACGGG
rnacentral:rRNA from 1 species